rnacentral:rRNA from 1 species
GUCCACGCCGUAAACGUUGGGCGCUAGGUGUGGGGAACCUUCCACGUUCUCCGUGCCGUAGCUAACGCAUUAAGCGCCCCGCCUGGGGAGUACGGCCGCAAGGCUAAAACUCAAAGGAAUUGACGGGGGCCCGCACAAGCGGCGGAGCAUGCGGCUUAAUUCGAUGCAACGCGAAGAACCUUACCUGGGCUUGACAUAUAGGGAAAUCUCAUAGAGAUAUGAGGUCCGCAAGGGUCCUAUACAGGUGGUGCAUGGCU